GCUGGAGCGGGACAGGAGCAGAGCUCAAGAGCUCUUGAGUCAGAGCCUGCCGUACCUGAGGGAUGCUCAGGCCAGCUCGCGAGAGGCGGCCGUGAGGUUCAUCGGGCUGGCUGCGCGGCCCCUGAGGGACCGAAGGGAGGAGGAGGAGCUGGCUGAGAUCUGCAGCGCCCUUCAGCCCUUGGAGCAGGACAGUGAACCCUCCAUCUGCUCCCUGGCAGCCCAGACCAUCCGCAUCCUGGGCAACCCAAGGGAGCAGCCACGAUCGCGAUGGACCCUGCGAGGCCUGUGCUGCUGGCCCCGCUAAGCCCGGCGGAGGUGCAGCUCUUCUCGGGAGGAGGGCUGGAUUUAAUAAAGCUGGAGGAGAAUGCCAAAGCCCUGGUGUCCUUCAGAUGUGCAGCGCCCUGAGCGUGCUGAGCAGACGGUGUCGUUCCUGGGCUCUCCCGCUGCCGCAGGACGUCAGUCCCUCAGCACAGCCUGGUUCCAGGUGUAGUUACGGUGCCGGCAGGCGGGCGCUCGCUGGCCCCCAGGCCCUGCCCUGCAGGGGGAGGCAGAAGGCCGUGCGGGCACGGGGGCAGCAAAGACACGCAGUUUUACAGCAGGGCUGGUCCCAGCGCCCCAGGAGCUGUUUCCCACUGUUUGCCCUCAGCUCCCGCCAUCCCCCGAGGGUUUCCACAGCGCCG